GAUAAGAGUUUUCAGGAAGUUAUGACAUCUCUUUCAACUCCCAAGAUUGUGGAGGGCUAAGAGAUCUUUGGGAAGCAACUUGUUUUUUGUUUGCUAAUAUUGGUAUCUCUGAUCACUCCUUCAACUCCAACUUUUGGAGGGCUAAGAGUCUGGAUAUGAGCUGCUGUUUCCGAGAUCAAAAUGUAUGAGGCUGCUUGCUCUAUGUUUGGGUUAGAUUCUUUUCCAAGAGUAACCGAUAUUUGCGGUUCUGUAAAAUGAAACCUCUAAUCUCUUAUCAACUCCUAAUUCAUGGAGGGCUGAGAAUUUAAUAUUCAAGGGUUGGCGACAAAGGAAUUAGUGACCGAAAAUCGCAGCAUCGCCAGCCAUAUAACUGAGGUUUCUCUCCAUACGGCUUGAUGCUAGAAGGCGUGACGAUGACGCAAGAAGAUGAUAAAAUGGCUUGAAAUUUUAUAGCAAAGCUUGAAUUUGCCGAUUCAAGCGAUGAUGAGCGAAAACUUGAUUAAGAUCUCCUAGAUUUCUCUCUUACAGGGAACUAGGUAAGUGAGUCUUAAAGGUUUUUGUUUUGUUUUGUUAUCCUUUUUUUGCUUUUAACCUUUUGAAGCGUUUUCUAUAUUGUUAUCGGGGCAAAAAAUAAAACGUAAAUUGUUAGUGUGGUAUUGGUUUUUAGCAGUGUCUUGUUGGGAAUGUGUCCAUUGCAAUGGGUUAUGUGCAACAGUAGUAAAAUUAACAGGCAGGAGAAUAUGGUACUUCAGUCAUCCCUUUUCAUUUUUUUUUGAAUGGCGAAAAAGAAAUUUUAUUAAUCUUUGACAUUGUUACAAAGAUUAAUAGAACAAGAAGAGGACAAAUAGUCCUAUCCGAGACCCAAACCCUUGAUUGGCAAGAAGCCAACCAAGGCAACACCCAAUGGGGACAAAGCCCCAACACCUAAAAGCCUAAAAGCCCAGAUAAAACAGUUAAAGCAAGUGGGACACAACCCAACAUCCAAGAGGCCUAAAAGCUCAAAUAACCUAGGACAAGCCCAACAAAUAAAGCCCAUACUGCAAACCCUAGCUACAACAACUGUUGCCCCCACCAAACACCACUCAACCCUCACUAUUGAACCCACAGCCGCAACACCACUGUCCACCAUAAAGCUGACAGCCAGAGGAACCCACCAGAGCCACCUACAGCUGCCGCUGCAUCGCAAACCGUUAGGCAAAGAACCGGUCGAACCCAGGAGAAAGACCUGCGUGAGACAGACAGCUCCACCCCCAAGGAGAACAACCUAGCCGUUAAGCACAACCGGCUGCCUCAACAGUACAACCGGCAGUCGGAAAAUCAAGGACGGGAGGAGAGAGCCAAACGGAGACAGCAACAACGAGAAGGAGAACAGCAGCGGGACAGAGGAGAUGAAGGAGGGAGCAACAACCGCAGCAUCAGGCUUGAUGAAAUUUGCUCAGAAUGGGUAUCCAGCUCAAGGUACCCAUUUAUAUUGCUCCUUUUUGUCAAUGAACAAGUGUAGCGUUUGUACCAAGUUUGACGACUUUUCAAAUAGCCCUUUUUAUGAGCAUGGUAUGGAAGUUUUUAUCUUAUCUUUCUU